rnacentral:lncRNA from 1 species
CUCACAUUCACGGCUGCACACGCAGCCUUCUCCUCUCACCUGAAAACUACCGCCGCGGGUGACCUUCUCCGGCGAGUCGUCGCCUGCCUUCGUCGGCUCUGCUUUCGCCCCUGACUCCACCCCUCUCUCUCUGUUUCUCCUCUGCGAUUUCCCCUUCACAUUUUACAAAUUGAGCCCUAGCUCUUUUCUGGAGUCGCCGCCGUCACCUCGGCUCUGAAAAUCCGGCGACAUCGCCGCCUUCUGAAGUCUGACCCAUCAUCUGUCCUCUUCUCUCGCCGUCUUCACCUUCCUCAGUCUCGACGAAGCAACCCAAUCGAGCCCUAGGUUCCUUCGGCUCAGGCGACAUCGCCGCCACUUCCCGGGCUCGAUCACGCUUCAGAUAUUCCGGCGGAGUCGACGCCGUUCUUCGGCUUGUGCCGUCUCCUGAAAACUGGCGUCUCUCCUCUCACU